rnacentral:rRNA from 1 species
CCUACGGUGUGCAGCAGUGGGGAAUAUUGCACAAUGGGGGAAACCCUGAUGCAGCGACGCCGCGUGAGUGAAGAAGUAUUUCGGUAUGUAAAGCUCUGUCAGCAGGGAAGAAAAUGACGGUACCUGACCAAGAAGCCCCGGCUAACUACGUGCCAGCAGCCGCGGUCAUACGUAGGGGGCAAGCGUUAUCCGGAUUUACUGGGUGUAAAGGGAGCGUAGCCGGCAGGGCAAGUCUGGAGUGAAAGGCGGGGGCUCAACCCCCGGACUGCUCUGGAAACUGCCAGGCUGGAGUGCAGGAGAGGUAAGUGGAAUGCCUAGUGUAGCGGUGAAAUGCGUAGAUAUUAGGAGGAACACCAGUGGCGAAGGCGGCUUACUGGACUGUAACUGACGUUGAGGCUCGAAAGCGUGGGGAGUAAACAGGAUUAGAUACCCUAGUAGUC